UUGAUUACGUCCCUGCCCUUUGUACACACCGCCCGUCGCUGCCCGGGACUGAGCCAUUUCGAGAAACUUGGGGACCGCUGACUGGCGGCCCUCGGGCCACCUUUUGGUGGAAACCAAUUUAAUCGCAGUGGCUUGAACCGGGCAAAAGUCGUAACAAGGUAGCUGUAGGUGAACCUGCUGCUGGAUCAUUACAUUCGAACCGUGAUGGUCACACUUAUGCUGAAUAUAGCCAGAUCUCCGUGCUCAACAGCGAACAGUUGGGCACACACUGGGAGAGAGGCACGCCUCUGGCAGACCGAAGAUGUCAGCCAGAAUGGUGAACGGCUAACGCUGGUGUCUGAGUGUCGCUGAGUAGACUGUCUUCGUCCGUGGUUACGAUGAGGCGACAUGUUAGUGCCGUGGUGAGCCUAGUAAAAGGCCCAUGGUUUAAGACUUAAUGAGCUCACGGAUACGGGCCGCCAGCAUUUUUUAUUUUUUCAAUAUUUUUUUCAACACUCAAUGAGUGUGAACCAAGAAAAUUUUAAUCUUAUCGGUGGAUCACUCGGCUCGUGGGUCGAUGAAGAGCGCAGCUAACUGCGAUAACUAGUGUGAACCGCAGAAACAUUGAACACUAAAGUCUCGAAUGCACAUUGCGCCAUCGGAGUCUCAUCCUUUGGAGCGCCUGGUUCAGGGUCGCAAACCAACCAAAAGCAAAGUUUGCUUGGCAAGCAAGGAAUAUUUCACGUAGACAAUUGGGGCAUGUCUAUUUGAAAAUGUGAGAGAGGAGGCCGUUGCCUUGUGUGUGCGGAUUGCUUUGUUCAGACCAAUAACACAUUGCAUUCCUGAGAUGGGCACACACAGCGACUGGUCUGUGCCUCUGCCCGUGUGGCACUUUGAAAUUUCGACCUGAACUCAGACGUGGCUACCCGCUGAACUUAAGCAUAUCAGUAAGCGGAGGAGAAGAAACUAACAAGGAUUCCCUUAGUAACGGCGAGUGAAA
rnacentral:rRNA from 1 species